CAUUAACUGGGUUCAGAUCUAAAAUGCUGCUUUUAAAAUGCACGCACAUGUUGAAGACUCAGCGACUGUAAUUUCUUGGGUAAACAUCUGGUGAAGACAUUCCAGGAACACAUCUGAAAGGAAGAAAGGCGGAACACAGCUCUGCAAACACCUUGAUUUUUAGCCCGGGAAGAUGCAGGUCGGACUUCUAACCUACAGAACUGUAAGGAGAGUUCCUGCACGUCUUUGCUUUAUGCAUAUGAAGAAAUUCAUGAUAAGAGAGAUUGAAGGCUGCAAAAAGAAUAUUGGAGCAGGAGGAGGAGAGACAUCAUUUUCAAGGGUGUGCAUCUUGGAAUGGAUUAAGCUACACGACCCUCAGGUCUGCUCGACCGCCUAUCGCAGUAGCAGUACAGCUCUGUGACGUGCCUGGCAUCAUCCUACGUCAUGGCCUGUAUUUGCUCAGUUAUUUUUUGACUUCAUACCAUAGCCUGUCCUACAACUGCACAACUCCCUUGUGCCAAGAACCGGUCCUCGGCAAUCUGAUGUGGUCACUGCACUCAAAUAAAAAUGCCCCUUUAACUGAGGGGCAUAGAAAGCAAGACAGACAGACAUCACUGUCGCAGAAUUGUGAAGUGCGGGCACAGGACAGGAAAGGCUGGUUGUUGAUGCUCAUGACAGCUAAGCUAAAUUCACCUACAACUGCAAGAAAAGUGGAAGGACUCACUCCGUAAUCUUCUUCCUUGUCUAUAAAGACAACAAUCCCGCCUACCCUACUGGGGCUAAGGUGGAAUGCAACUGUAUGUGGAAAAACACUACGAAGUGCUGCGACUAGCUCCCACUGGACCGGCACCAUCUUUAAUGGCCUCACUCAUAUCCAUCCAAACCUCCAAAUGCAGCGAGCGAUUCAACAAGGACAAACGGGAGUCAACAAAGGCUUUCUGGCUCCCAGACCCCGAGCCUCUACCCCCUCUUCGCCUUUCACGUCCCCCUCAGGUGUCUCCGCCUCUGACACUGCUCGUCUGGACUGAAUUCAAUUAUUUCUUGCACUCUCAUUACAGUCUGACCAAGAUUUAUGAGUUGAUAAUUGUCUGAAAGUAAGACCACAAAGUAUCAUUUGUGUUUGGGGCUAACCUUCCCGGUGACCUUUAGGAUUAAAGGCAAAAUGAAAAGUGUGAUUUCUGCAGAGCCAAACAGGGUAACGUGAUCCAACCCAGCUAAUGAUCCAAAGCCUCAGAUUUCCCUGGUGGAGGACACAUUAAAGCUGGCACAAAGGGGGACAGCUAAUCCCGCAGGUUCAUUUCACAAAUUAAUUUUUUGAAGGCGUCACAACCUCCCCCUCUCACUUCUGGGUGCAUUCUGAGUGACGUUUUCCAAACAGGAUGAUGACAACAGCUCACACCUCUAAGACCUUUAUUGGAUUAUUUUUACAGGCUAUUGAAAAACACUUUUUUGAGAAGCCCUAAUUGAAAACAGACCUCUCCCCCUGCCUGAGUUAGCAAAUGGAACAUCACAAAGGGUGAGAGGAAAAUGAAUUCAUGGAAACUUUCCCAGGUCGGUGGGUGAGACCUGAUCACUCACUUCCCCGAAGCACUGCGUGCUCAAUAAUGACCCUUCCUGAUAGCUCUUCCUCACGUGCCCCAACGAUCCAAAGACACAAGUGCAAAGAAGACACGUCUUGAGACUCAGUUGAAAGCUUCCAGCCAGCCCAAAGCAGUUGGGAGGCAUUUGGGGUUCUCUGUCGGGAAUGUGCAAUACUGGGUCAUUCGGAGUUAGAAGGCCACUUCCUAAGGGAAGAGGGGCAGUUGGCUUCUGUCCCAUGCAGGGAAUCAUAAAAUGAGAAGGCCUAAUAAAUAUGAAACUGUGAUAAUGUCUUCCUUCUCUUCUGGCAAACUUGAUGGUCAGUUCAAGUAUUUAUUGUACCAGGCACUGUGCUGGACCCUGUGAAACAAUUUCUGCAAAUCCUCAAGGAACUCGAGGGCUAGAAUCUCCCCUGGAGGCAAGCAAGGACACAGGACUCUGCUCAGGCUGGGGCUGGGAACAGGUUGCGGGGAUUUGCAGGGAUUGGCCUGAGAUCAAGGGGGACCAAAGCCACUGUGCUUGGAGAAGGGAGACUCAGGAAGUAUGGACUGCUUAUGGUGUCAAAUCCAAGGGGUUGGGGCACAGGGGUAAAAGAUGAAGACUGGAACUUCGUGAAGUCAGGGAUCAUCUUUGUAUUUUCCAUCAUCGUACUCACAGUGCAUCUGGUUCACCAAAAGUUUAUGCACCGUGUACACACACAUCUCGUCGACUUGAAGUAGCUCAAGCAUUCUGUGGGAUUCACGGGGCAGCGUGUCUGAGUCCCAUUUUAUAAACAGAGAAAACGCAGACUCCAAAAGAAGUGACCUGAAGUGCUCCAGGUCACAGAGGCCUCGCCCCGGACCUGGAUGGAGCAGGAGCAUGCUAGCCUGUCUGUUCACUUCCACUAACGUGUUCAUCCUGAGGAGACUCCUGGGCCAGUCCUCAUGGAGACAGUCACUAUUGGAUGGAGCCACAGGAAGCUGCCAUUGUUUUUUGGUGCUUGCUCCCUCCUCUUUGCUCCAUUGGAUGAUGGGGAACGUUAGAACAUUUUGGUCCACUGAGGCCAAUUUGGUAUGUGCAGCAGAAGGCCUGUGAUGUUCAUGAGCCAAGAAGUCUGAGGAAACGGGUCUGUGGACAUGGGAAGAUGCAGCCUCAUAAGAAUCCUGUACUGGCGCCCUGAGCCCAUGGUCUCGGGCCACGGAGUCAAUGGAGUGGAAGAGACUUGUCUGUUUAUUUGAAGUCUGUGCUCUCCUACCUCACCUAGUCUGCAAGGCUCAUGAGGGCAGGGACCAUGGCUGCCUUGUUAACUACCAUAUAAUCUGGAUCACGCACAUGGGAGAACAUUGGAAUAGCUGCUAUGAUGAAGCUCAGGCUGCUAUGAGGAAGCAGUCUACCCCAUGCUUCUAACUCCCCAUUAGAGAGACCAGUGGUUCCAGGUUCCACUGUAGAUGCGGGACGUAUGACUGGGUAAGUUUUGGUUUAAGGAUGGGCCAUAGGACCUACAUGGAUCCAGAGUGACUCUUUUUUUUGUUGUUGUUGUUGGGAAUGCUGGGACUCUUUCUUGUUCCAUAUGAAUGGUGAAGUAACUCAGAAAGAUUCCUGCCUUAGGAUUCCAAGGAAGGCAAAAUGGAGAAACUGGGUGACUCUGUGUUUCUGGAUCAAGCCAUGACUGAAGACAGUGCUACCUUUGGACUUUUUACUUUCUUCUCUCUCCUUCCCAGGUGGGUACGUACAUGCAGGUGAGUGAACCAGCCAAAACACUCACAUUUGCUUAGUUGGCCUUUGGACUCCACUGGGACCCAAGAAGGAAGGCUGAUGAUCUGGUACAUUAAUUCACUCAUAAGGACAAGAGGCAACCAUAAGGACAGAACUUGAAAUCAGAAUUUUUCUCAAAAUGUUACCUGGUAUAUUAAAAUUACCUAGGAAGACAUUUCAAAGCAUUCCUGCUUUCUCUGAAUCUAUCUGAAUCUGGGAUUAUCUGAAUCUGGGACUUCAAGGUAUGUAUUGAGGGAAAUCCUCGACUCCUUGGUGUGCUGAUAAUGCCCUAUUUUAGAACCACUUUUAGGGGGUUUGUCUCUAGCUUAGGUUCAAAUGAAAGACCAUGGGAUUUGGGGCCACCUUGGGGUAGUUUUAUGACAUGAGGGAACUUAUUAACUCUUUAAAGUCUCAGUUCUUUUGUCUGGAAAAUGAGGAUAACAAUACCUA